rnacentral:lncRNA from 1 species
UUUAAUUGACGUUUUAGAGAACUAAUUGUGUUCCUAUUUAUUUGACGUUUGUAGAUUUCUAAAAGAUAUUGAUUACAUUACUUCCUAAAUUACCCCUAAACAUUUAAUACUCUCCUUAAUUCUCUCCUACUUUUUCAGGCUAUUUUUUCUCCCUCUUUUAAUAUCUUAAUGGUAUACUCUCUUUCUCUCUUAUAAUUCCUAUAUUUUCUCUAUCCUCUAACAAUAUUUUUCUCUUAUCUUUAUCAUCUACAAUUUAGCUUUUCAUUUAUCUAUGCAAGGGUGUUUUUGGU